CACAUCUUCUCCAACAUUUAUCAUUUUCUUUUUUGUCAUGGUGGCCAAUCUGAUAGGUGUGAUGUGGUACCUCAGAGUUGUUUUGAUUUGCAUUUCUCUAAUCAAUAGUGAUUUAGAGCAUUUUUUCAUAUGACUAUAGAUGGCUUUAACAAGAGAGCCUUUUCGCCUGAGUGUUGAUGCUAGAUCUGCUAUGCUGAUAAGAAAAGAGUUUUAUGCUGGGAGAAAAAGUAGUGUUAUACAUACAACACUGAUCUUUGGAAAAGGAACCCAUCUGGAGGUCAUGCCAAUGCCUAUGUUGCACAGCUCAUCUUUGGAACAGCAACUCAGCUUAUUGUGGAACCAAGGGUCGGAGAGAGGAAAAUGAUGAAGACUUCAAGCCCUGCCCAAUGGAGCUGAUCCACAUUACCCAAAGGCACCAUCUUCUCUACUUGGUUUUCCACUAGUGGAGACAUACUUUCUGAAGGAAUGGGGUAUGAGGUGACAAAUUUGAAACUGAAGGAGUGUGAAGUCUGUGCUUCUAAUCAAAUCUCUCACCCCAGAGAGAUUUGCACAACAUAUCAACCCCUUAUUUAACCACCAACCUCCCCGUCCAGACACCAAUUUUUCAGUGGUGGAACAAAGUGUGACCUGAGUAGUCUUUGGAGUUCAAUUUCCCAUAUUCACUGAAACCUCAUGAGACUUGCAUCCAAGUCCAGAUGCCAUGGAAUUAUAAAACAAAAUUAUUUUUUAAAAAUGCUUUCUAGAAAGAGGAAUUUUCUCUGCAAGGCAUCCGUGACACAUAGGGAUGGAAAGCACCCCCCAAAAGAGCCAAUUUCCUGAUUUUCUUUCUAGGCUCGGAGGUUAGUGGAAAAUACCUCAGUUGGCCCAGUGAAUCAUAAAGCAGAUUCAAAUCUAUGGUAAAGCUCUGUCUGAGCGAUUUAGAACAGAAAAGAUUUGCAAGGAAAAGGAGGAUAGAGAAUUUCUUUCUAGUGGAAAAGCCAUUCCUAUGACCCAAGAGAGUCCUACUCACCAGAAUAAAAGAUAGGACAAAUUUCUAAAUCA
rnacentral:lncRNA from 1 species